rnacentral:rRNA from 1 species
CGUGUAGGCGGUUGGAUAAGUCGGAUGUGAAAGCCCGGAGCUCAACUCCGGAAGUGCAUUCGAAACUGUCCUGCUCGAGUACGGGAGAGGAGAGUGGAAUUCCUGGUGUAGAGGUGAAAUUCGUAGAUAUCAGGAGGAACACCUGUGGCGAAGGCGGCUCUCUGGACCGAUACUGACGCUGAGACGCGAAAGCGUGGGGAGCAAACAGGAUUAGAUACCCCGGUAGUCCACGCUGUAAACGGUGAGCACUAGGUGUAGCGGGUAUUGACCCCUGCUGUGCCGACGCUAACGCAUUAAGUGCUCCGCCUGGGGAGUACGGCCGCAAGGUUAAA